UGAACGCUGGCGGCGUGCCUAACACAUGCAAGUCGAGCGGGGUUAUUGGGGUUCAGCUUGCUGAACGCCACUGACCCAGCGGCGGACGGGUGAGUAACGCGUGAGCAAUCUGCCUCAUACAGGGGGAUAACAGGCGGAAACGCCUGCUAAUACCGCAUAAGACCACGCCACCGUAUGGUGGAGCGGUCAAAGGGUGGACAGACGAGAGGCUGUGCAUACCGGUAUGAGAUGAGCUCGCGUCCCAUUAGCUUGUUGGUGAGGUAACGGCUCACCAAGGCGACGAUGGGUAGCCGACCUGAGAGGGUGAUCGGCCACACUGGGACUGAGACACGGCCCAGACUCCUACGGGAGGCAGCAGUGGGGAAUAUUGCGCAAUGGGGGGAACCCUGACGCAGCAACGCCGCGUGAGCGAAGAAGGCCUUCGGGUCGUAAAGCUCUGUCAUAGGGGAAGAGGAGAAGACGGUACCCUAUGAGGAAGCCCCGGCUAACUACGUG
rnacentral:rRNA from 1 species